GAUGGCAGCCAUAUUACCCAAUACUGAUUACCCACUGAAGCUAAGCAAGGUUGAGCCUGGUCAGCACCUGGAUGGGAGACCUCCUGGGAAAACUAUAGGUUGCUGCUGGAA
rnacentral:rRNA from 1 species